GGCUCAGUGGUGGAGUGCUUGCCUGGCAUGUGUGAGUCUCUGAGUUUGAUCCCCAAGACCGAAUAUAAAUAAAUAAAAGAUCCAUUGACAAUUAAAAAUAUUUUUUUUAAAGGAAGGACUGGGAGACCACCUUUAGACCAAACCAUAAGUAAGGAGCAGUGCCCCCUGGGAGCCAGAAUGGUGAGAGAGACCCCAGGAGAAUGCAUCAUCUAUCUCCAAAAUUCAUGGGUGUAUAUGCAGUCCCCCCUCUAUUUGGCUCCAGACCUUGGUUCUUAAUAGUUUACCUAGAGCCAUUGUGUCAACUCAGUGUGGGCUCCCUUUCUCAAAAUGGCCUUAUUAACUCCCACAGUCUCAGACUUCUCCACCUCCAGCAAAAGGCUCUGUCCCUAAUGCCUGCCAACGGGCUCUGCUCUGUGGCUCCAUCUACUCUUUCCUACAAGGCAAGGGGGCCCAAUUCUCCAUGGGCUUAGGAGCCCCAGGCCUCCACCUGCACAGCCCCAUGACUACACUAUUGAUUUCCACCCCAAAAAACAAGUUCCCUGUCCCAAGUGUUUUUGUUUUUUUUUAAGAGAGAGAGACUUUUUUAAUAUUUAUUUUUUAGUUUUCAGUGGACUCAACAUCUUUUUUAUUAUGUGGUGCUUAGGAUCAAACCCAGCGCCCCGCGCUUGAGCCACAUCCCCAG
rnacentral:lncRNA from 1 species